rnacentral:lncRNA from 1 species
GGGUGCAGGUUUCAUGGUUUUGGAGAUGUUCUUUGUACAUGUUGAAAUGUGCUGCAAGAACUCCUAAAUUACCAAGUAUAUCCAGAAAAAAACAACGUUAGUUUUCAAAUUGUUAUUUUUUGAACUGUAAUUAUGGAUAUUCUUUUAGUUCAUGUGGUUGAGAAUUGGUCCUGUAGUCCAAUAUUUUCACUGGACGUCUGUUAGAGGAUAUUUCUAUGAUGGCCCA